GUCUAUGGCCAUGCCACCCUGAACGCGUCUGAUCUCAGAAGCUAAGCAGGGUCAGACCUGCUUAGUACUUGGAUGGGAGACCACCUGGGAAUACCGGUUGCUGUCGGCU
ensembl:rRNA 5S_rRNA 5S ribosomal RNA